UAGGGAAUAUUAGAAAUGGACGAAAGUCUGAUCUAGCAACACCGCGUGUGCGAAGAAGGCCUUCGGGUCGUAAAGCACUUUUUGGAAGGAAUAGGAAGGAAUGUACUUCCAGAAUAAGUCUCGGCUAACUACGUGCCAGCAGCCGCGGUAACACGUAGGAGGCAAACGUUAUCCGGAUUUACUGGGCGUAAAGCGAGUGUAGGUGGUACUGUAAGUAGGGCGUGAAAGCUCCUGGCUCAACUGGGAGAGGCCGUUCUAAACUACAGAACUAGAGGAUGGUAGAGGGAGGUGGAAGUCCAGGUGUAGCGGUGGAAUGCGCGGAUAUCUGGAGGAACACCGGUGGCGAAGGCGGCCUCCUGGACCAUUCCUGACACUCAGACGCGAAAGCUAGGGUAGCAAACG
rnacentral:rRNA from 1 species